AAAUUGAAGAGUUUGAUCAUGGCUCAGAUUGAACGCUGGCGGCAGGCCUAACACAUGCAAGUCGAGCGGUAGCACAGAGAGCUUGCUCUCGGGUGACGAGCGGCGGACGGGUGAGUAAUGUCUGGGAAACUGCCUGAUGGAGGGGGAUAACUACUGGAAACGGUAGCUAAUACCGCAUAACGUCGCAAGACCAAAGUGGGGGACCUU
rnacentral:rRNA from 2 species